rnacentral:tRNA from 1 species
GCCUGGGUGGCUUAGUCUGUUAAGCACCUGACUUUGGCUCAGGACAUGAUCUCGCUGUGAGUUUGAGCCCCACAUCAGGCU